UGGGGAAUCUUCCGCAAUGGGCGAAAGCCUGACGGAGCAACGCCGCGUGAAUGAAGAAGGCCUUCGGGUCGUAAAGUUCUGUUGAAAGGGAAGAAGUCUCUUUAUGUAAAUAAUGUAAAGAGGUGACGGUACCUUUUGAGGAAGCUCCGGCUAACUACGUGCCAGCAGCCGCGGUAAUACGUAGGGAGCAAGCGGUGUCCGGAAUUACUGGGCGUAAAGGGCGCGUAGGCGGGAAAUUAAGUUAGGUGUGAAAACUCUGGGCUCAACUUGGAGACUGCACCGAAAACUGGUAUUCUUGAGGACAGGAGAGGAAAGUGGAAUUCCUAGUGUAGCGGUGAAAUGCGUAGAUAUUAGGAGGAACACCAGUGGCGAAGGCGACUUUCUGGACUGUAACUGACGCUGAGGCGCGAAAGCGUGGGGAGUGAACG
rnacentral:rRNA from 1 species